GGGCAAAGAUCGAACACAGAUAAGUAACUUAAGUUCUUAGUUAAUUUUAGGAAUAUUUGCACAAUUCAUACACCGACCUUGCAAGUCCAAGUUGAGCGAUUCGAGGCACGAUCUUGGCUCGAUGUCUAGCGAUGAACGUCAAGCCCACUAAGACGAAUGUAUUUCUAUAGCCUUGGGUUUAGUGGCCAACUAACGAGCGGUAUAGAGCUUGUUUGGAUAAUAAGGGUAUUUCCGAAAUGAAUUGGGUAUUGAGAUUUCUUGUGCACAAUUAUUAAAGUUUGGAUUAGUUAAGUUCAUAGUGUGGCCUAUCCGCAACUAGUGGAAAUAAUGAUUCGAACACAAUCACCCUAAACCAUUGGUUCUUAUGUUAAAAUGAUAUCGGGUCAAUUUGGUUUGUUAAUUAAGAUCUGACAUCUACUUAUCUCGGCUUUUGGUGUGUCUUUAUUUAGUUACGAUUGUCUUAAUUAGUCAGUGAUAGGUCAGCUAUAUUUGGACCCCAUCUGAACAAAUCAUGUGGCUAAACUCGGUGUUUAAGUUAUCAGCCAGAUUCGUUGGCUUCCUACGGUUGAUAAAUCAAAUUUGUGCAGUUUUUUAUUGGUACCACCCAUGUAUAGGCUAACAUCAAGUGUUAAUGGUCAAUAAGUGACAACGUAAGUUAUUUAUAAUGAAAAAAAUUCAAGAGUUUUUGAAAAUCCAAAGUAUAAAAAAUCUAGGACGUUACAUAGCCAAAUUCUUAGUCUUGGUUAAUGGAUCACCUAAAGAUUUCUUCUAAUGGUAUCCAGCAAAGGGUCCCCUUCUCCCCAUUCUUAUUUGUUGUGGUGUCCAAAGCUCCGAGCAAGAUGCUAAUUAAAGGCUAGGAGGCAAGAAUCAUUCGUGGAUUUCGGGUGGAUAAGGUGAAUCCUCCAAUCUCCCAUCUUUAAUUUACCGAUGACACUAUUUAUUUGUGAAGCCGAUGAUGCCAUGUUGAACAAGUUAAGGAUGGUGAUAUUAUGUUACGAAGCGAUCUCGGGCCAAAAGGUUAACAUUGCCAAGAGCUAGAUGUUAGGGAUGCAAAUGUCCAAUGAGGAAGUAGAGGUGAUGGCAAGGAUCUUCGAGUGCCGCGCAGGGGUCCUUCCAUCUACCUACCUUGGGCUUCCUCUUUGUGUUGGAAGGUUGGCAGAGCAUUUGUUGGAUGUAGUUGUGGAGAGGUUCGAGAGAAAGUUAUCAAAGUGGAAAAGCCUUUUACAAUCUCCCAUCAUACCUCCUUUUCAAAUGUUCGAAGUCAAUUUUGGUGAGGUUGGAAAAGUUGAUACAACUUUCUGUGACAGGGUUCAAAGGACAGGAAAGUAUUUCAUCUUUUGGGGUGGAGGUGUAUAGGCCAUACAAGGAAGGUGGGGCUGGUAUUAGGGAUUUGGAUAAUAUGAUCUGGCUCUCUUAGGAAAAUGGUUAUGCCACGUUGGAUCAGAUGAUGAAUUCUUAUCGCUAGAGGUCAUAGUAUGGAAGUGUGGAUGUCAAGGAGGAUGGGAAGUCAAGGACUCUUCUCUACAGCCCCUCGUGGUUUUGGAAGGGGAUUUCUAGAUUAAAGGCCAAGUUUAGCGUGAGAGUUGGAUUCUCCAUUGGCAAUAGGGAGUGUUAGAUUUUGGGUGGAUGUAUGGGUUAGAGAGACCCCCCUUCAAUUGUGUUCCUGGGAAUUGCUUGCCUCUCUAUGGGAAGGUUUAUUAUGGUUUCUAAAUCCUAUUCCUUCAUCAGAAAUGAAGUUGUUUGAUCCUCGCCUUGCCGAAGAAACUUGCAGGAUGAGGAAGGUGAGGAGUUUGCUAAGCUUCUUGGUUGCUUCCACCGUUACAUGCUAGCGAGAGAUGACAGAGAUAGACUAAUCUGGUUGAAGGAUAAAUCGGAGUGUUUCUUGGUUUGGUCCUAUGAGUUCCUUCGGUCUUCGAAUAGGGGUGGUACCCACAUGCACACGGCCAACAUGUGGCACCUAUGAGUCCCCCUUGAAAGUUGCGGCUUUUGGGUGGCUUGCUGGAAGAGGGAGGAUCCUCACUAUUGACGAUCUCCAAAAGAGGCUGCUAUGGAGCCGCUUCCUUUGACUCUUCGAAAUGUCUUGGGUAAUGCCAAACUCAAUUGGGGAAUUAUUCUUGCUAUGGUAUGGAGUGGGGUUAGGGAAGAACUUAAAAGCUAUAUGGAGAUUGGUCUUGCUGGCUUUUUUGUGUGCUAUUUGGGGGGAGGAAUGGAAGGUGCUACCGAAAGGAGUCCACCAAGGCAGAGGAGGUUUUUUCCAAAGGAAAGCUCCUUGUUGUGGAGUGGGCUUAUCUAAAAUUCUUAGAAGAUUGUAAUUUCUCUUUUUUGCUUCAGUUGUAGCUCUUGCACCUUCUCACUGCUUCUUAAUAAAAUAAUCAUUACUCUUCAAAAAAAAAAAA